UUCUACCUCACCAUGUGGGUACCACGUUUGCAUCAAACGGUUAUAGAAUGCACCCAAAUACACGAACCUCACACUUCUCCCACACUUUUGCAUGCAACCAACACCUCCUUCGCCAUGUGCCACGCCCGAAUUGGCUGGUCAACAUCCACCUUAAAACCCCAAAAUCUCAUUUAUCAUGAAGAGCCUAUUAUGCCUCACUUUAUUCACUUAAAAUGACCCAACUACCCUCAAGCCCUAUAUCAGAUUGCAUUUUUCCUUUCACCUCCAAAGUGUCCUUUCUCUCCUCCUUUCUCUCUCUCGUUCAGCAUCUCUUUACCCCUUUCAAGGAAAAUUUUCAGUCUUUCACCAUGGUGGAUAGAGGUUGCUACUUCAUUUUCAUGAUGAAUCCUUUCAAUCACGUGAAGAUCGAAUGGAGACAAAAUCCAACGUUUGAAUUUCAAACGUUCAACUUGAGGAACCCAAUUCCCGCUCAAACGGAUAACCCUAGAAAUUCUUCUAUAAAUACUUGUGUCUUGGAAUCCAUUUGCAGAGGAUUUUUGGCAGCCGCAACACCUACAACUCAGGGAGUUAUUACUCUCUUUCUCGCUAAAAUAUACUUGUUUGCUUUACUUUUUUUGGUCGAGCGAACUUUCUUUCAUUUGAUCAUCUUUUUGGUCUCGAAAAAACUCUUUUUAGCCAUCUCUUUACUCCAAAACUUUUCAAAUCCACUGUUUAAGUUGUUUUGAGAGUAAGGGAUAAACUCGAGACCUACGCCUCACGUUCACUGCACCAAAACAGAGUCUUAAUUCAAGACUCUCGCUAAUGAGAUCUCAAAAUGAGACUCGAUGUUGUCCCUCAUCCGAG